GCUUCCUGCCAUGAUGAUAAUGGACUAAAUCUCUGAACUGUAAGCCCAUCCCAGUUAAAUAUUUACCCUUAUAAGAACUGUUGUGGUCAUGAUGCCUCUCCAGGAAUAGAAACCCCAGCCUCGCCUGAAUGAUGCCUGGAAACUGAAAUGAUGCUUCUCCCCGUGCUGUCAAGUGACAAAGGAUAGAGAAACCAGCCUGCAGGGAUCACGCCUGCAAAAGCAGUUCCAACUCUCUUUCUGCAGUUGUUACGCGCAGGCAAGAGCCAUCUUCCCCAGGUGUCAAUGCCUGGAGACAGGAAACCUCACAAAUUCAGAGCUGGCGGAGUCUUCGCUUGGUUUGACUCUGUCCCUGAACCACCUCCCCCUUUAGCACUCUCUCCCACCUAUCCCCAUUAUUACUGGAGGUCAACAACCUUAUACCCCUGGGUCUAGCUUGUUUCUAUGUAGCUGUGAUAAUACCAUUAGCAAAAAGAACAGUUUAUCACAUCUUACAGGACACAGUCGAUUAUGGAGGGAAGCAAGGGCGGAUCUGCUAGGUGGGAAUGUAGAGGAGGGAACUGAAGAAAAAGCAAAGGCAUAAUGUGGCUUACUGGCUUGCUGCCUUGGGCUUGCUCAGCCACCUUCUUAAGUAACUCAAGACCACCUGUCCAGGGAUGGUACUACUUACAGUGGGCUGGGCCCACAUACAUCAGUUAACCAUUAAGACACACCUACAGGCUGAUCUGACAGAAGCAAUUCCUAAAUGGAGGUUCCCUUUUCCCAGGUAUGCCAGGUUGACAAUUGAGGUCAAUCCCUUAAAGGUGGGAUGACUUUAAAUACUGUAUAUGACACUCAGGUCAUAGAGUUGGCAUUAGGUUCAAAAGACAUGGUCACUGUCUCCAAGGGCCUUGUAAGGCCUGAUUCCCAGCAGACAUUUCUUGGGGGAAGAAAGUCAGUCUGACGGUUUCCUCUGAGUCUUCAUCUCAGUUGCACCCAUUAGGAGCCUGCAGGAGUUUUAGAGAGCUGGGAUACCUUGAUGAAGAACCAUAGUUUAACCUUUAUGACUGACAUCCUAGCCCUGACAGGUGGAUCUGGGAAAUCGUCUAGAAUAUAAAAAAGACUGUAUGAGGCAUGCCAUUGAAGGUGAUUCCUAAGGUCCUCCUCCGUGGGAGGGUGACCGCCCUUCUGACUUCCUAGCACUAUUGUGAGACACAAAUGUGGCCCGUGGAAAAUCCUGUGUAAAUGAGGGUUGCUCCUAAACCAGGAACCAGGCUCUCUGGAGGACUUCAUCAACCCUGAUGGAUGAGCAAAGAAACAGAAGAACGCAUGAAUGGGAGAGUAUGGGAAUAGAUGGAAUCUCUCUCUUCAACCUUCACGGGGUUACAUUUAUAUAAUAACUUACUUCUUAUAGGUAGGGCUGGAAAGCCUACAUUUUAAUGGAUUUCCUACUUCAUUUUAACCUUCGCAUCCCUUAUACGGUAUGCUUUGUAAAAGGUUUUUGUAGCGCAGAUCCGGACCUUUCAGCAGUAACACAGUUAGAUUUCAAGUCUGAGAGCUUGAACUCAGGCCUUCAGCUAUACCUGGCAGCAUCAUCGUUCCUAUCCAGUUUAUUUGCUUCCUAGUGAGUGUUCAGGUCUCAGUCUGAGCAUCAUCUCCUCGCUGCCAGCUUCACUGCCCUGCCCUGCCCUGCCACACCACGCCCCACACUUCUUCAUUCUUCCCCAUUUGCAGGUUUUAUUUUCUGCAUCUCAUUUAGCAUUACCACGGUUUGACAUGACCUGAUUUAGCACUGCCAUGUUUGUGCCUGUAAAAACUGUUCUGUAGG